CCGAGAAUAUUCGACAAUGGGCGAAAGCCUGAUCGAGCGACGCCGCGUGGAGGAUGAAGGCCUUCGGGUUGUAAACUCCUUUUCUCUAGGAGGAAGUUCACUUUAUGUGAACUGACAGUACUAGAGGAAUAAGGCGCUGCUAACUACGUGCCAGCAGCCGCGGUAAUACGUAGGCGCCGAGCGUUAUCCGGAUUUAUUGGGCGUAAAGCGCGUGUAGGGGGUUUUACUUGUCUUUAGCAAAAUCUUUCUGCUCAACAGAAAGUUUGUUAAAGAUACGGUAAAACUAGAGGGCGUUAGAGGCAGAUGGAACGUACGGUGUAGGGGUGAAAUCCGUUGAUAUCGUACGGAACACCAAAGGCGAAGGCAUUCUGCUGGAACGUACCUGACCCUGAGACGCGAAAGCGUGGGGAGCAAAAAGGAUUAGAUACCCUUGUAGUCCACGCCCUAAACGAUGCCCGCUUGCUAUUGGGAGUAUCGACCCUCUCAGUGGCGAAGCUAACGCGUUAAGCGGGCCGCCUGGGAAGUACGGCCGCAAGGCUA
rnacentral:rRNA from 1 species